UUGCUAAGGACUCUGUGGCUGAAGAUCUGAGUGUUAGAGCCUUUAGAAUGGUCAGCGUUUGAGCUGCAGGCGGCCCCGCUAUGUGCACACAGAAAUGGAAACAACAUGUUUAGCUUUGAAUAAUAUGGCAGAACUACCAAGGCUUCUACGUAGACCUCUUCCUCCGAAGAUCUUGCCAGCAAUCAUCAAAGAGACAUUGACACCAAUAAAACAAGAUUUGUUUGUUGAUAAGAGACCAUCAACACCAUGUGUAAGCAGAAUAAAUAGUGGCAAAGGGAAGGUUCACAGUCAUGACCAAGCAGAACAUAAAUACCCUCUGAAUGACCAA